rnacentral:lncRNA from 1 species
CGCUGUCGCCGGCUGCAGGAGCGCCUGCUGGCCAUGGUGCUGGACGAGGACCGCGAGGUGGGGGUGGAGGUUGUGGGGCUGCUGACCGAGAUGCUGGCGUGAGCUGUGGGGUCGGGGGGGACCUUAUGGGGACACGGGGACAUGGGGACGAUGUGGGGACACUGGGAAAUGGGGACAUUAUGGGGACAUGGGGAAAUGGGGACGUUAUGGGGACAUGGGGACAUUGGGAAAUGGGGACAUUAUGGGGACAUUGGGAAAUGGGGACGUUAUGGGGACACGGGAACAGUGGGAAACGGGGACGUCGUGGGGACACAGGGACGUUAUGGGGACACGGGGACGGUGGGAAAUGGGGACGUCGUGGGGACAUGGGGACAUUAUGGGGACAUUGGGAAAUGGGGACAUCGUGGGGACAUGGGCAUGUUAUGGGGAUAGUGGGAAAUGGGGACAUUGUGGGGACACGGGGACGUUAUGGGGACAUGGGGACAUGGGGACGUUAUGGGGACAUGGGGACAUUAUGGGGUCAUGGGGACAUUGGGAAAGGGGGACAUUAUGGGGACAUGGGGUCGUUAUGGGGACACGGGGACAUUGUGGGGACAUUAUGGGGACAUGGGGACAUGAUGGGGUCACGGGGACAUUGGGAAAGGGGGACAUUAUGGGGACAUGGGGACAUUAUGGGGACUUUAUGGGGACAUGGGGACAUGAUGGGGUCACGGGGACAUUGGGAAAGGGGGACAUUAUGGGGACAUGGGGAAUUUAUGGGGACAUUGGGAAAUGGGGACAUUAUGGGGACACGGGGACAUUACAGGGACGUUAUGGGGACACGGGGACGUGAUGGGGUCAUGGGGACACCGGGAAAUGGGGACAUUAUGGGGACAUGGGGACAUUAUGGGGACAUUAUAGGGACAUUAUGGGGACACGGGGAUGUUAUGGGGACACGGGGACAUGAUGGGGUCACGAGGACACUGGGAAAGGGGGACAUUGGGAAAUGGGGACAUUAUGGGGACAUGGGGACAUUGUGGGGA